CAAACCAAGCCACCGAAACCAACACCUCCAAACAAACCACUGCCAGUGCUGAAACCUAAACCGGAACUAAAACAGAAGCCAUCUGCCUCUGCUCCUUUACCACCGUUGAAACCAUCAGCUCUGAAAACGACCCCUCAUCCACUUCAUAAGGUUGCCUUAAGACCACCUGUUCC